CCUACGGGAGGCAGCAGUAGGGAAUCUUCCGCAAUGGACGAAAGUCUGACGGAGCAACGCCGCGUGAACGAUGAAGGCCUUCGGGUCGUAAAGUUCUGUUGUUAGGGAAGAACAAGUGUUAGUUGAAUAAGCUGGCACCUUGACGGUACCUAACCAGAAAGCCACGGCUAACUACGUGCCAGCAGCCGCGGUAAUACGUAGGUGGCAAGCGUUGUCCGGAAUUAUUGGGCGUAAAGCGCGCGCAGGCGGUUUCUUAAGUCUGAUGUGAAAGCCCCCGGCUCAACCGGGGAGGGUCAUUGGAAACUGGGAAACUUGAGUGCAGAAGAGGAAAGUGGAAUUCCAAGUGUAGCGGUGAAAUGCGUAGAGAUUUGGAGGAACACCAGUGGCGAAGGCGACUUUCUGGUCUGUAACUGACGCUGAGGCGCGAAAGCGUGGGGAGCAAACAGGAUUAGAUACCCUGGUAGUCCACGCUGUAAACGAUGAGUGCUAAGUGUUAGAGGGUUUCCGCCCUUUAGUGCUGAAGUUAACGCAUUAAGCACUCCGCCUGGGGAGUCGGUCGCAAGCUGAAACUCAAAGGAUUGACGGCUGAGAGNGCGACGACGACGACGAGGGAGAGG
rnacentral:rRNA from 1 species